GCCUUUUGUAGAAUGAACCGGCGAGUUACGAUUUGUUGCAAGGUUAAGCGGAAAAAGCGGAGCCGUAGCGAAAGCGAGUCUGAAUAGGGCGCAUAAGUAACAGGUCGUAGACCCGAAACCAGGUGAUCUACCCAUGUCCAGGAUGAAGGUAAGGUAAUACUUACUGGAGGUCCGAACCCACGCACGUUGAAAAGUGCGGGGAUGAGGUGUGGGUAGCGGAGAAAUUCCAAUCGAACUUGGAGAUAGCUGGUUCUCUCCGAAAUAGCUUUAGGGCUAGCCUCGAGGUAAAGAGUCAUGGAGGUAGAGCACUGUUUGGACUAGGGGCCCUUCUCGGGUUACCGAAUUCAGAUAAACUCCGAAUGCCAUGUACUUAUACUCGGGAGUCAGACUGCGAGUGAUAAGAUCCGUAGUCGAAAGGGAAACAGCCCAGACCACCAGUUAAGGUCCCCAAAUAUAUGUUAAGUGGAAAAGGAUGUGGGGUUGCUUAGACAACCAGGAUGUUGGCUUAGAAGCAGCCACCAUUGAAAGAGUGCGUAAUAGCUCACUGGUCGAGUGACCCCGCGCCGAAAAUGUACCGGGGCUAAACAUAUUACCGAAACUGUGGAUGAACCUCUUUAGAGGUUCGUGGUAGGAGAGCGUUCUAAGGGCGGUGAAGUCAGACCGGAAGGACUGGUGGAGCGCUUAGAAGUGAGAAUGCCGGUAUGAGUAGCGAAAGAAGGGUGAGAAUCCCUUCCACCGAAUAUCUAAGGUUUCCUGAGGAAGGCUCGUCCGCUCAGGGUUAGUCGGGACCUAAGCCGAGGCCGAUAGGCGUAGGCGAUGGACAACAGGUAGAGAUUCCUGUACCAGUGCUAAUUGUUUAACCGAUGGGGUGACACAGAAGGAUAGGGAAUCGCACGAAUGGAAAUGUGCGUCCAAGCAGUGAGUGUGAGAAGUAGGCAAAUCCGCUUCUCGCGAAGCAUGAGCUGUGAUGGGGAAGGAAAUUAAGUACGGAAGUUCCUGAUUUCACGCUGUCAAGAAAAGCCUCUAGGAAGAGUAGUACUGCCCGUACCGCAAACCGACACAGGUAGAUGAGGAGAGAAUCCUAAGGUGAGCGAGAGAACUCUCGUUAAGGAACUCGGCAAAAUGACCCCGUAACUUCGGGAGAAGGGGUGCUCUAUUAGGGUGCAAGCCCGAGAGAGCCGCAGUGAAUAGGCCCAGGCGACUGUUUAGCAAAAACACAGGUCUCUGCAAAACCGUAAGGUGACGUAUAGGGGCUGACGCCUGCCCGGUGCUGGAAGGUUAAGAGGAGUGCUUAGCUUCGGCGAAGGUACGAAUUGAAGCCCCAGUAAACGGCGGCCGUAACUAUAACGGUCCUAAGGUAGCGAAAUUCCUUGUCGGGUAAGUUCCGACCCGCACGAAAGGCGCAACGAUCUGGGCACUGUCUCAACGAGAGACUCGGUGAAAUUAUAGUACCUGUGAAGAUGCAGGUUACCCGCGACAGGACGGAAAGACCCCGUGGAGCUUUACUGCAACCUGAUAUGGAAUGUUUGUACCGCUUGUACAGGAUAGGUAGGAGCCGAAGAGACGUGUGCGCUAGCAUACGAGGAGGCAAUGGUGGGAUACUACCCUGGCUGUAUGACCAUUCUAACCCGCCACGCUUAGCGCGUGGGGAGACAGUGUCAGGUGGGCAGUUUGACUGGGGCGGUCGCCUCCUAAAGAGUAACGGAGGCGCCCAAAGGUUCCCUCAGAAUGGAUGGAAAUCAUUCGCAGAGUGUAAAGGCACAAGGGAGCUUGACUGCGAGACUGACAAGUCGAGCAGGGACGAAAGUCGGGCUUAGUGAUCCGGUGGUUCCGCAUGGAAGGGCCAUCGCUCAACGGAUAAAAGCUACCCCGGGGAUAACAGGCUUAUCUCCCCCAAGAGUCCACAUCGACGGGGAGGUUUGGCACCUCGAUGUCGGCUCGUCGCAUCCUGGGGCUGUAGUCGGUCCCAAGGGUUGGGCUGUUCGCCCAUUAAAGCGGCACGCGAGCUGGGUUCAGAACGUCGUGAGACAGUUCGGUCCCUAUCCGUCGCGGGCGCAGGAAAUUUGAGAGGAGCUGUCCUUAGUACGAGAGGACCGGGAUGGACACACCGCUGGUGUACCAGUUGUUCCGCCAGGAGCAUCGCUGGGUAGCUAUGUGUGGCAGGGAUAAACGCUGAAAGCAUCUAAGCGUGAAGCCCCCCUCAAGAUGAGAUUUCCCAUUUCUUCGGAAAGUAAGAUCCCUGAAAGAUGAUCAGGUAGAUAGGUUUGGAGUGGAAGUGUAGCGAUACAUGGAGCGGACAAAUACUAAUCGAUCGAGGACUUAACCAAAA
rnacentral:rRNA from 1 species